rnacentral:rRNA from 1 species
GUACACGCUGUGACUAGCAUAUCAAUAAGCGGAGGAAAAGAAACUAACAAGGAUUCCCCUAGUAACGGCGAGUGAAGCGGGAAGAGCUCAAAUUUGAAAUCUUAAAGGGUUUCCCUUUACGAAUUGUAGUUUGAAGAAGUGUUUUCUGUUGAGGUUUUGGUAAAAGUUCUUUGGAAUAGGACAUCAUAGAGGGUGAGAAUCCCGUAUUUGACCUUUACUUUCAACUUUGUGAUACACUUUCAAAGAGUCGGAUUGUUCGGGAAUGCAGUCCAAAAUGGGUGGUAAAUUUCAUCUAGAGCUAAAUAUUGGCGAGAGACCGAUAGCGAACAAGUACCGUGAGGGAAAGAUGAAAAGAACUUUGAAAAGAGAGUUAAACAGGUACGUGAAAUUGUCAAAAGGGAAGCGUUUGACACCAGUGUUGUUUUUCUGAAAAUCAAUUAAAGAACUGUUUAUGCUAAGUUGUUUAGACUUUAUCAGCUAACUGUUUAGUUUUGAGCUUUUCUUUAAUGCACUUUUCAGUUAACAAGUCAACAUCAAUUUCUUUUGCUGUAAAAAAGCUUGAGGAAGGUGGCUUGAGAUUCGUCUUAAGUGUUUAUAGCCUCUUGCCUAUGCAGUCGGAGAGAUUGAGGUCUGCAGCGUAGAUCCUUCGGGGCUAAAUGCAUUUGUGCUAAGUUAUAACAUUUUAUAGACAACUUGUUGACUAUGAUUUGUCUUGUAGCUUACUCGCUUAUGUUAUUUUACCUACGCUUAGGAUGUUGACAGCAGUAUAGACUGU